CUUGCAGACGAGGACGAGGACGGCGCCGGGCCGCCGGCCGACUACGAGGACGACGAGGAGGGGGAGGAGGAGGAGGAGGAGGAAGGCUCUGAGGGCGCUGAGGAGGAAGAGGAUGACUAUGCAGAGGAGGAGGAUGAAGACGAGCCGGCGGCCGUGCGAGGAGAGAAGAGGAAGAGAGACGUGGAGGACGAAGGGGACGACGACGACGACGAUGACGACGACUAAUCGGCCUCCUCGCCCGACUCGCCCGUCUGUCUCGUUCUGUCCGUCUCAGUCGACCUCUGGACCCGAGCUGGAGAGCAACAACAACAACAACAACAACAACAACAACAACGACAACAGCAACAACAACAACAACAACGACAACAACGACAGCAGCAGCAGCAGCAGCGACCCUGGGCAGCAGCAGCAGCAGCAGGAACAGUGUGAUCUCCAGAUAGUGCGUUUCAGUUUCUCUACAGUAGAAUAUCACUGCAGAAUCUCUUUAUUUUUAGAUAAUAAUGAUGAUAUAAUAUAUAAGAUUGCAGAAAAAAAGGAGAUUUUAUCGAAGCUUCAUUUGUAUUCAUUCCGACGUUAAGCCCCUCCUCCUCCGCUCGGCCCCUCAGCGCCUCCCUCCGACCUCUCCGCUCGAUCAGGAUUUAAACUCAAACACAGGAAGCGUCCCGGGGCCGCCGCGCCCCGCCCGGCCCCCCGGCCCCCCCGGCCCCAACUCUGUCUCCUCUCCGUCUGAACGUAGGAAACGUCCCGCCGGCGUCCCGCGGCCCGUUAGCGCCUCCACACCAGCCUCUCCCUGAGGAGGGGGCCCAUCAGAGCGGCCGGCCUCCCAGUCCGCUCAGAGCUGAUUUUUAGGUUUUCUCCCCGUGACGUUCUCUGCAAAAACGAAACAGAACCAAACAAAGGAACCUGAAGCUGCAGCUGAAACUCAGACGACGCCGUUUCCCAGCAUUCACCUCUUCCCUGCUGACCGCCUCUGAACGGCGACCGCGUGGCCCCGAAGCGUCCGGCUCUCCGUCGCCGCCGGCGCCCGUUAACACACACCUGAAGAACGAGCUGGAGAAAUGCUUCCUGAGGAAAAACAUUUCUUUUCCUCAGGAAACGUUCCCGGUGUUCCACCCGGCGUUCCACCCGGCGUUCCACCCGGCGUUCCACCCAGCGUUCCACCCGGCGUUCUCUGUGGUUCUCGCUCCCGGUUCCUUUAGUGAAGCUCUGCGAGUUUCCUCCUUGUUUUUUCUCCCACGUGCAGCUUCCUGUCAGAGCCGAGCGGCGGCUCGCUUUCCUCCUUCAGCACUAACAGAAAAUGUUCAGCUUCAAAUUAAAAGCUCAGUGUCGGCGUUUAAUCCCCGCAGCGCGCCGGAGGGAAAACAAACUGUAGCGUGUCGUCGUACCUUUUAUCUAAAACGAGUAUAAAUGACCUCAAAAUGAUUUUAGAGGUAAUGAAUAAAUUAUGAUCUAAAAAAAUAAUUUUAGCAUUAGAACCUUUAAUUUGAAACAUGGUAGCCAAACGGCAACGCGAGCGCCGUUUAAACGGGAGGCGUCACGUCAGCGCCCCCUACUGUUUUUUCGUGUAAUUUUGUGAGUGUAAUCCUGGAAAAAAAAUGUCUUUAUAAUCUGAGAAUUUCUUCCUCGUUAACUUUGCGUUGUUAAUCUGGGCGGCCGGCCGGCGGCUCGCGCUGCGGCGAGCUCCUGAAGCGUUCCGUAAAACUCGGCGUGUUUCUCCAGGUGGCCGGGUCUUUUUUUUUUUUUCCUCCUGUGUGUAAACGCAGCCUCGGCCGGGAGAGGAGAGCUCCCCCUUCAGGUCGUCUGGCGAACAGCAGCCGGACAAACCCUCGGUGUUGACGAGCUGCGGUCGCAGUGGGACUCUGCUGUCCUCCAGUUAGAGACAUAGCUAACAAUAAUCCCAAUAAUCUCAUCAUAAUAAUGGUAAUAAUAAGUAAUAAUUUGCCCUAAUGUGUGUGUUUGAAGUAUCGUAGGAGUUUUCCGGGGAGGGAGGGGAGGAAAAGAUUUGUUGGAAUAGUUUUUAUGGUUAUUCUUCUGAUUGUUUUGGUUGUUUUUGUGGGCGGGGUUUUGGUGUUGUAGUUUGAGAAGACCGGCAGCAGGUGGCGCCGCUCGCCCCUCCGUCUCAUCCAGCUUCACUGGACGGCACAAAAACAAUAACUCCUUUCUUAUUCAAUAAAGCGCUGUGCCAGGAACAGCCAAUAGGAGAGAGGGAGCGAGGGAGGGGGCGGGGCUUAGCGUGGCGGCUGCACCUCCACCUGCGCUCUGAGACGGGACGUCCCGCUCCGCAAACCUGCCCGAGUCCUGCCGGUGUUUUUUCUUUUUUUCUUUUUUUUUUUUCCCAAACGGACAGGAAGUUGGUGCCGUGUCGAGGAGUGGCUCGCUGAGCAAAGCAUUAUGGGACAUUAAAUCAUGAGGGUGCGGCACAAAGCUCCGCGGCGGCCGAGCCGAUCGCCGGCGAGGAGGGGCGGCAAACAGAAAUCUGCUGCUUCACAUUCACAUGUUUUUUAAAUUAUAAUUGUAAUAAUUUUCAGCGCUUCCUGCAUCCUGCUGCUUCCCUGCAGAUUUCUCCGUUUCACUCGGUUUUAUUUUUUAUUUCAAUUUAUUUUCAGUUUCAGUUUAGCUUCAAUUCAUUUUUUAAUUCAUUUAGUUUUUAUUCCUUGAAAAUGCUCAGUUUGUUUAGUUUUCAUUAGUUUCACUGCUCGUUUUGGUUUUUAUCUGUCGGGCGAGAUUCAAAAGGUCAGAAAAGGCUUUUAUUGUGAAAGAAAAGUGAAAACCUUUUCUCUGUAAUCUGAGUUUAUCUGAGUUUUGUAAAAACACAAUUCAGUGUCAGUCAGUUCUUUUUUUUUUGUAAAGCCUCGUUAACUAAACAUGUUUUCACACCUCGUUUUUGUUAGUUUGUCAGUUUUCGGUAAAGAUAAUAACUUUGGUUGCGACCGAACACGAAGUGAGUUUUUCACGCGGUGCCGUUAAAAAAAGUCACGAGCUGAAGUGAUUUUCAAGUCACUCGAGUAACGGCGAGCGAAACCUUUGCGGCCGUGUUCGCACGCGUCCGCCGCGCGAAAAUUCCCUUCGUGUUUAAUCCGAGAAUUUACAAGUUUUUUUUUGAGUCUGUUUAAUCUAUGUGAUGUCCCUCGGCCGCGGUCGAGACACGCCGCAACACCAAACCCUCCAACUUCCUGUUCAAAUCCCCGUCUUGUUCCUUCAGAUUAAAAGUUCAGUUUGACUCGGCGAGGGAGCUCUCAGGAUUUCAACUCGAAUCUGUUUCAGGUCCUUUUUUUUUUUUUUUUUUUUUUUUUUUUUUUAAAUUUAUACUUACAACUAAAAAACAAAAUCAUUGGGAAAAAACGACAUGAAGUAAAACAAAAUUCUGUUUGUUCAUCUGUUGGAACGCAGCAUCCGCCGGGCAGCGCAUGUGUGUGUGUGUGUGUGUGUGUGUGUGUGUGUGUGUGUGUGUGUGUGUGUGUGUGUGUGUGUGUGUGUGUGUGUGUGUGUGAAGUGGCGGCUCUGUGGUUUCCAGGCAACACGUCAGCUGGUUCACCUUCACCUGUUUUUACUUUUUAACAGCAGUCUCUCUGGGUGUUUUUAUUUCAUUUCAUUUUGUUUUAUUUCAUUUUUGGGUAAGCGAGGUUCUAGUUAAAGUCUUUGACCCCCCCGACCCCGGCUCACUGUAUCACUUAUUGUUUAUAUAUUUUUUUUUCCCAUCAUCCCGUCUGUUUGUUUGUGGGGGAGUUACUGUGUUCUGACAUUUUUUGUGUGGUGUAAAAAAAAAAAAAAAAAAAAAAAAAAAAAACAGUCUUGAGAGGGGUUUUGAAUAAAAAAAUAAGUAAAAAAACGUGUUUCUGGUGAUUUACUGAGCUGCACGUUCCUGUUAAAGGGACAGUUCACCACAUUCAUAAAAAAAAAAAAAAAAAAAAAAAAAACAUGUAUUACCACAAUGGAGUCAUGUGACCUUUCCUCAUUAAUCCUCACAAUUUGCAUAAAUUAUAAAUGGCUGUUUUCACAUUCAGUCCAUUUCAGUUUGAUCCACGUCCAUUUAAAAGUGACUUUUUUCCACCAACAUGGAUUUAGACUCUCA
rnacentral:lncRNA from 1 species